rnacentral:lncRNA from 1 species
AUACUGAGGUAAUAUCAUGCUUGAUCCAACAUUUUGAAUUACUUUUUAUGUAUAAAUAUAUAUUUUCAAACUUUAUAAUUUUUAAAUAGUUUAAUAAUUUUUAUGUAUAAAAUUAAAAUUUUAAACACAUGAAUAUGCACUAAAAAGUCAAAGAUAAAAGAAAACAUACAAUCUUAGAUUAAUAAGAUUCAAAAAUCAUAGCCUUCGACUCACAAUCUAAUCCUUAGAUUUGCGCUCCUCCCG